rnacentral:rRNA from 1 species
UUAAUUGAAGAGUUUGAUCAUGGCUCAGAUUGAACGCUGGCGGCAGGCCUAACACAUGCAAGUCGAGCGGAAACGACAACAUUGACCCUUCGGGUGAUUUGUUGGGCGUCGAGCGGCGGACGGGUGAGUAAUGCCUGGGAAAUUGCCCUGAUGUGGGGGAUAACUAUUGGAAACGAUAGCUAAUACCGCAUAACGUCUACGGACCAAAGAGGGGGACCUUCGGGCCUCUCGCUUCAGGAUAUGCCCAGGUGGGAUUAGCUAGUUGGUGAGGUAAUGGCUCACCAAGGCGAC